AAAUUUCAGUCACUAAUUAACUGCGGUGGGAAAAAGAAAGACGCGAGCUCACCUGCUUGAGACCUGAAACCCGGGAAUUAGUUACCAUUCAUAUGGCGAAAAUGAAUGAGGAAAGAAUAGGCUUUUGGGAUAAACGCGAAAAUAUAGGCUUAGGCUAUCUUAUACGUUUUGUUCUACGAGAUAAUAUUAGUCAGUUAACAUUUCCUUUAUUAAUUAUGAAGCAUUUAUGUGCUUUUUCAAAUUACACAAAUGCUUCCAAAUUCACAAAAAAUGACGUUAGCUGAUGAUUAUCUCAUAGAAGAAAACAUAUGUUUACCACAGACCUUAAUACAAAAACUCUGUCCAUAAAACCAUGUCAGAGUUAGUUCUCAAAAAAGACGCCAUUAGGAUAGAAAACAAAAACUGUAUCAAGAAAUUAGCUCAACAUUGGAAAAAUUGCCCGUUUGUAGUAGUAAAAAAAACUACAGAAAGAAGCACGAGAGUUUCGCAAGAAUUGUCUGCUUUUUCUUGAAUAAGUCUGCUUUUAGGUAAUAAUGUUUCAUUGAACACCAUAUCCCGAAAGCAUUGCGCCAAGGCAAAGCAGGAAGAUAUUUUUUCGUCUGCAACUUCGGGAAGUUAGCCAGCAGGGUUGUGUUGCUCAGGCCCUGGGGAGAGUGGUGUGUGUCAGAGUGUGUGUUACAGAAACACCAGCAGUGAGUGUAUGUCUGUCUGUAAUCUGCUUCCGCCGGCUGUUUGUGGCAUCGGCUGUGAAGUGAACAGGAAGACAGAGGGCUGAAGAGAGAGAAAAAAA